GGAAAAUAUAUGAGAUUCAUUAUGUUGGAUGGAGAACUGUUUGCAGUAGGUUUGUGUAAGCCUCGGCAUUGAUUCAUAUCUCUGUGCGGCAGAGUUGCAUUUGUUUUUACAAUGCUGCCACAAAAGGCAUAUCAGAAAUCUUUGGUUAAAGCCUUCUUAUUGAAGACUUUAGUCAGACUAAUCAUGCAAAUUAAGUGGCUGUAGAAUCAGACUAUUAGAUUUUUAAGCUUCUCUGACCACUUCAGACAGUGCUAAGCAUGCUUCCCUUUUGACCAAGUUUGUAUUUGUGCAAACUUCCUCAUGCUUAACUCUCAGAAAGCCUUACAAAAGUGAGAAAUUACUCAUCUUUGAACAUGAAAGAGAAUGGCAAAAGGAACUUUCUGCCUUUUCUGCUAUUUAAAUCAGACCACAGUUUAGCAACAAUGUUUAAAUGAUGUGUUAUACAGCAAUUUUUUGAACUACUGAGUGUUCUUGGUCAACUGAAAUUCCUUUUCCAGAAAUUCGCUCUCACCUUUGAUACUCAGCCAGAUCACUGAAGGCAAAAGACUGGUGUUUCUUCCUGGUUUCGGUUCCAUUUUGGAGGCAUGCACUUGAUUGCCUGACAGGCUGGACUGCUGAAGAAUUGAUCUACUCAGUGGCUCCCAGGCCGGAGUGCCGCCAUCGUGCACCAUCAGGGUUGCUACACUGGAGGAAUAGACUGUGCUAUGAAGAUCCAUCUUUAACGCUGGUAUUAGGGGCUGUCAUGAGAACUAAGAGAGAAUGGCAUCAGCUGGAUAAUGAGCCACUGGUUGCCCAGGGACGUUCAGCUGCAGCACCUCAACCUUCUACAGAGACAGAAAACUUCCCAUCAGUUUGAGAGUGCUCCUGUAGGACCCUUCUGGCUGUCUGUGAGUGAAAGUAGAAGAAACACUGAGAAUCAGGGAAAUGACUGUGAAGGGAAAAUCUUGGGAACUUUCUUUUUAGAACUGAAAUUUUAUCUGAAGAAGGAUUGCUUGCUCAAAGCAGUGCAAAAGGCAAGUGGAGAAAUAGGCAGGCACAAGCCACGUGGGAUAGACCAUGUGUUGGCUUAGUUGGUAUUUAACUAAAAUUAAGAUAAGGUUGGUAACCUUCAAUUUCCUCGGUUGCUUGAAUCCAUUCGUAGCCUUUUUGUCCAUAAGUAAAUGAGGCAAGAGGGCAGAAUGCUUUAGAGAGCUGUAUUAUCAGCAUUGUGUACGGGGAAGAACCGUACAGCGUAGGUACUCCAUUUCCAUUAGGCCUUCCAGCUCUCUAGUGAAGUUGUUGUUCCACUGUGCAGACUAGUUUUAGAUAAUUCUGGGCAAAACAGCAUUAAAUCAGUAUCCGAUGAAGGCACUGGUAUGUACACUGCAGAGUGCAGCCUCGGUACCUUCAUUGACAAGGAUCUCUGCAGUUCCUACUUUUUCUUGCUUAUGUUUCCUCAUAGUAUUUACUUGCACCUGGAUAGCAGGGGCUUAAAGGAAGUGGGAAAUGUCUGUCUGAUGGGGAACAGUAUAUUUUUAAUGGUUUUGCGUGCCCUUAAAACCACUUCUGCCAACAACAACCACAUGAGUGCUAGCAGGAAACUCUUUGCAUGAAAUGUGCAAACAAAGGAGCCCUCUUGCUAGAUUCUGUCCUGCAGCUCAGACAGCGCAACCAGCUACUGCAAGCUGGCCAAGCCCAUCUUAUCUACAACAACUUUCCUUCCUUCGUGGCUUUUCUUCUCCAACACUAGAGACCUUUCUGUUCUUCAACCCAGCAUUAUCUUUAACUAUUUCCUACCCCUUAAUUCACUUUUUGUUACCUGUCUUCUUACAGGUCUAGCUCCAGCUUUUCUCUUCGUUGCUAAAGGUGUUGGUUAUCUGUCAGCCAGCUUUCACCUUUUUGCCACCUUUUCUUGCUGUUGUCUUUCUGUAUUUCUCCACCCUUGCCAGACUUUCUUAGGCAGUCACAUUCUCAAGACCUGAAGGCGAUAUUUAUUCCUGAUCCUACCUCAGUUUCUGUUCUCAGUGCUUUCUGAUGCCUUCUUAGCUAUUUCUCUGUCAACUGCUGUCUCAAACAUUGCCCACUCUGUCCCACUUCAUGCUUUUUUUGCCCAAAUACUCCAGUGACAUCAAUUCAAGGGGCCUUUCUUCCUUCACAUCCCGCUCUAGCAUGCACUGCACUCCCAGCCUUCUCGUCAUAUCUGUUCCCAACAUCCUCCUGUAGCUCACUUUUAUUGCUCUUUUUUGUCCUGUGUUUGUGACAAUAGCCAAGUCUCGAGGCAGGAAAUACACUGUGUGCUGUAAACCACGGUGGGUAUUUGUAGUUCAGAAGAUGCAUGUUUGCAUGAAGUCUGGGGCCAAGUUCUUUUUGCAACUUGUUUACAAAUUUCAAAAUUUGCUUAUUUUUAGUUAUUGAAAUGUCUUUCAAAAGUUUCUUUGUCAAAAUGACUAUAGCAUUCUACUAUCUGUAGCAGGAUUUCAAUGUAAGAUCUUAUAACAGUUUUUGAGCUAGUCUGGUGGACAUUUUAGGGUCAGCAGUUGUCUUUGAUGUUUAAAAUUCUAUGAGAAUUUGUUAGCUCUUAAAAAAAAAAAAAAAACUAAUGGGAUGAUAAAUGCAUUUAAGAAGGUCCAUAUCACUUUUUGCCUAUUGAGGCAAUAUUGUUUCUAUUUAGUCUUAAGUAUUUUUAACGAUAUGAUUUUCCACAUAAUUUUCAUUGUUUUAGAAUUUCCUUCCUUGCUUAUUUUGGCUUCUUUAAUUGAAAAAAAGCUUUGAAUUCCUGAAGCUCAGUCCUAUUAUCCACACGCAGCUCCCAUGAACAAGGAGUCUUUUCCGUGUUUAUUUAACCAGCCAUAUCAAUGGGAACAGAGCCCCAUUUGGAAGAUCCUGAAUUCCCUUCAGUCUCCCACCCUGUCCUAUACAAGGAGCCCCUGUGAACACGUGCUUGUUCUCUUGUUAUAUAAUCUGGCAAGUAAAUCGUAGUGGAUACUAACAGGACUUUAUUUGGAUCAAAUUUCACCCACUUAGUUUUGUAACCAAAAUCAAGAGAAAUGUUGCUCACUGUGUUUAGAAGAUUUAACCUGUUAGAGACUGGAAGAAGACAGAAUACUCUCAAGCAAAUCUAAAACUGAAUAUGAGAUGAAAAGCAAAAAAUAAGCUAAUUAGUGACCCUGGUCUGUUGUUUUUAGUGUUAUCCCUUUGUAGCAAUGUUUUUUCAGAGAGGGAAAAGCCAGUAUCUGGAGUACUGUGUGCAUUCAUACUUUGACUGCCUACUGUAGUUACUGAAGACCAGGGACUUUUUCUGCCCUUGAAGUAUUGGUUCAAGAACAUUCAGGCCCUGUAUUCCCCACGGCGUUGAGGCGUGGGCAGAUGGGCCACCUUAUGACCACAGUUCUCCUCAAGCUAAAAAUUCCAGAUCUAUGCUAAUAGGAGGAAGAGCAGCAGCACAGUUCAAGUCCAUGUGGCUCUCCGUCUUGAACAACUCCUCUUACUUGCUACCAACUUUCUUUUCCGUAUCUGAAUGAAAGUUCACACGUGCAUUCGAGGGGGGAUGAGCUAGUUACUCCAGUAUAUCCACAAUCAUCCACUGGGUCCCUCACAAAGUCAGUAAUUGCAAGGUCACACAUCAAAGCCAGUGUGUCUUUAAUAGCGUAAGAGCUGGAGAAAGGAUGAAUUCAGCCUCUCUACAGAU